CGCGUAGGCGGUGUGGUAAGUCUGGUGUGAAACCUCUAGGCUCAACUUAGAGCUUGCAUCGGAAACUGCCGUGCUAGAGUGCGGGAGAGGAGAGUGGAAUUCCUGGUGUAGCGGUGAAAUGCGUAGAUAUCAGGAGGAACACCGGUGGCGAAAGCGGCUCUCUGGACCGCAACUGACGCUGAGGCGCGAAAGCUAGGGGAGACAAACAGGAUUAGAUACCCUGGUAGUCCUAGCCUUAAACGAUGAACACUUGGUAUAGCGGGUAUCGAAUCCCGCUGUGCCGGAGCUAACGCAUUAAGUGUUCCGCCUGGGGAGUACGGUCGCAAGGCUAGAA
rnacentral:rRNA from 1 species